CACUUGUUUAUUUUACUUUUUGUAAAUGAUAUAGAUCAAUAUAUUAAUUUAAAAAAAUAUAUAUACAGAAAAAAUGUUAGUUUUGACAGUAAUUACACAAUAACCAAUAAAUAUAUGAAUUAUCUUCAUCGAAGUUAUUAUAAUAUAUACAAGAAUCGAUAUAUUAUAUUCGUAUAUUUACAACAGUAUUUUGAUGAAAUAAAUUUAGAUGACUCAAUACAUAUAAACGUAAAAGAUGAGAUAUUAAUGUUAAUAAUUAUCUUAGGAUACUGUCUAAAUUUAUAUGGUUAUUCAUUGGAUUAUAUAAACAAACUGAGCUUAUCACAAAGAGAAUGGAUAGAACCAUUGUACAGACAUAUAUGCGAACAAUUUCAUGAAAAUGUGAUAUUAAAAAAUGAUACAUAUGUGAAUGAUAGUGCUAAUUAUAAUAAUAGCCCUCUUGAUAAGGCUAACCAUUACAUCAAAAAAUUUGACAAAAGUGCAUUUGUAAAUAAUUAUUUAAAAAAUAAAUUAGAAAAUGAACUGUAUAUACCUAACACUCUAGAUCUAUUAAGUUUUUUAUUGAUCUUUAAUAAACAUAAGAAAUUAAGGAAUAACCGUAAAUCUCGUAAAUGUAUAGACAAGUAUUUAAUUUUACAAAAUUUGGAGCGUCUUCCGAAAAAAAUGAAUCUAAAGGGUGAAUGUGAUCUGAAAGAAGUUGAUAAAAUGUGUAGUAUCAUAGUGAAGCAACAUACGUUAAUCACCAGAGAUGGUGGUAAUGAUAGUUAUGACAAUAGUAGUAUUAAUAGAAGUAGUAACAGAUGUAGUGUUAGCAUUAAUGACAACAAUAACUAUGAUAAUGAUGAUGAGUAUAUAACUGAUGAUUAUGAUUAUAGUGAGCUUAAGAAUAUUAAAAAUGAAAUUUUAACAAAUGACGAUUUAAAAUUUUUAUAUUACUUUAACCCAUUGUUUUUUCCAUUAAAAAAUUUUUAUGUGAUAAGUAUUUUGAAUAUUUGGAAUAGGGAGCCAGAAAAAAAUGAAAAAAAAAUACUAAACAAAGUAUUGUAUAGAAAUAUAGUUAAAAAUGAGUUAAACGUAAUAUAUUUGCCUGUACAUAAUAUAAAUUUUAUGAACGAUACAUGUUCAUAUAUCGAUCACAGUAAUUCUGCGAAUACCUAUAACAGUCACACAGAUAAUAAACAAACCUCAAAUGGAUACAUUAAUAAAUAUUAUCAUAGUAAUAAACAUAAUACGUCUAUACCGUAUACAAGUUGUGAUGACCUUGAAACAAAUACAAAAUUUAUAGAAUUCGCUAAAAAAAAAAAUGCUUAUGCUACCAAUUUAAGAUAUUGCGCAUUAUUAAACAUAAGUUAUAGCAAUUCAUUUAAUAUAUUAUUAAAAGGUAUUUUGUGUGAAAAUGUAUAUGGAAUAAAUAAAUAUACUUAUUUGAUGAGAAAUAAAAAAAUUGAUAAAAUGAAUAAGUUAUUAAAUGAAAAUAAAAAUAAAAAUGUACCAAAUAAGAAACAAGAAGUGCUAAGUGUUUUAUACAAAAUGAGUUUGGACGCUUUAAAUAAUACAAUAAGCGAAGAUGAAAAAGGAGUAGAAACAUUAAAAAAUAUGCAUUUGAACGUGGAGAGAAAAGUAAAUAGACUUAAACGCCUUACAACAGAAAA
ensembl:lncRNA